UACGUAGGGCGCAAGCGUUGUCCGGAAUUAUUGGGCGUAAAGAGCUCGUAGGCGGUCUGUUACGUCCGCUGUGAAAACCCGGGGCUUAACCUUGGGCUGGCAGUGGAUACGGGUAGACUAGAGGCAGGUAGGGGAGAAUGGAAUUCCCGGUGUAGCGGUGAAAUGCGCAGAUAUCAGGAGGAACACCGGUGGCGAAGGCGGUUCUCUGGGCCUGUACUGACGCUGAGGAGCGAAAGCGUGGGGAGCGAACAGG
rnacentral:rRNA from 1 species